CAAAAGAAGAUAGAAAACAACAAUACAUUUGUGUUCAUUGUGGAAGUCAAGGCCAACAAGCACCAGAUCAAACAGGUUGUGAAAAAGCUCUAUGACAUUGACUUGGCCAAGGUCAACACCUUGAGCAGACCUGAUGGAGAGAGGAAGGCAUAUGUUCCACUGGCCCCCGACUGGGGUGCUUUGGAUGCUGCCAACAAAAUUGGGAUUAUCUAAGCUGAGUCCAGCUGGCUAAUUCCAAAUAUAAAAAAUUUUAUACU